rnacentral:rRNA from 1 species
CAAGUCGAACGAGAAAGUUCCUUCGGGAGCGAGUAAAGUGGCGGACGGGUGAGUAACGCGUAGGAAUCUACCUUUCAGUGGGGGAUAGCUCGGGGAAACUCGAAUUAAUACCGCAUACACCCUUCGGGGGAAAGGGGGCCUCUCCUUGGAAGCUCUCGCUGUUAGAUGAGCCUGCGUGAGAUUAGCUUGUUGGUAAGGUAAUGGCUUACCAAGGCUACGAUCUCUAGCUGGUCUGAGAGGACGAUCAGCCACACUGGGACUGAGACACGGCCCAGACUCCUACGGGAGGCAGCAGUAGGGAAUAUUGGACAAUGGGGGCAACCCUGAUCCAGGCAUGCCGCGUGUGUGAAGAAGGCCUUAGGGUUGUAAAGCACUUUAAGUGAGGAAGAAAAGAUUUAAAUUAAUACUUUAAGUCCCUGACAUUAUUCACAGAAUAAGGACCGGCUAACUCCGUGCCAGCAGCCGCGGUAAUACGGAGGGUCCAAGCGUUAAUCGGAAUUACUGGGCGUAAAGCGCGCGUAGAUGGUUUAUUCAGUUGGGUGUGAAAUCCCUGGGCUCAACCUAGGAACUGCAUUCAAAACUUAUAAACUAGAGUACGAAAGAGGAGAGUAGAAUUCAUGGUGUAGCGGUGAAAUGCGUAGAGAUCAUGAGGAAUACCAGUGGCGAAGGCGACUCUCUGGUUCGAGACUGACAUUGAGGUGCGAAAGCGUGGGUAGCAAACAGGAUUAGAUACCCUGGUAGUCCACGCCGUAAACGAUGAGAACUAGCCGUUGGAUCUUUAGAUUCAGUGGCGCAGCUAACGCAUUAAGUUCUCCGCCUGGGGAGUACGGCCGCAAGGCUAAAACUCAAAUGAAUUGACGGGGGCCCGCACAAGCGGUGGAGC